rnacentral:rRNA from 1 species
AGUGUAGGCGGAAAUUCAAGUCAGUGGUGAAAUCUUGCAGCUUAACUGUAAAACUGCCAUUGAUACUGUUUUUCUUGAGUAUAGUUGAGGUAGGCGGAAUGUGUAAUGUAGCGGUGAAAUGCUUAGAUAUUACACAGAACACCGAUUGCGUAGGCAGCUUACUAAACUAUAACUGACGCUGAGGCACGAAAGCGUGGGGAGCGAACAGGAUUAGAUACCCUGGUAGUCC